AUAUUUAAUUGUGUCCGUACGUCUCUUGUCUGUGUGUGCCUUUUGAUAACCUUCUGUAGUAGUAUUAGUAUUCUUCUUAUGUCACAGGACGAUAAAUUCCGCCUCACAUGAACCCUUUCUUUGGGGUUGUGCAGCAUACUUUCUGUAGCAUUUAUUACUUGGUAAUACCUUGGACUUUUGGCUAACUUAACUGUUAGUUAACCUGCCUUUCAUACCACCCAACAACAGUUCAGCUUCUCAACUGUCCUUUGUGUUAAUGGCACAGAUUUGGGUGUGUACUUCUUUAUAAGGCACUUUGCACACAGCCCAGAGUAAAUGUUUGGUGGUUGGCAUGUUUAUCUUAUUGCCGUUCUCUGAAAGAAUUGUGUUGUUUUGCUUUACAGGCUGGGACUCCAAGAAGCCUACCAGUGGUAUCUGGACCUCCGUCGAUUUGGAUCUGUACCGCAUGGAGGUUUUGGGAUGGGAUUUGAACGCUACCUGCAGUGCAUCUUGGGAAUUGACAAUAUCAAAGAUGUAAUCCCUUUUCCAAGAUUUACUCAUUCGUGUCUUUUAUAGCUGGAAGAUUGGUUAAGGAAAACCACACCAGCGGAGGUACUGCACAUGAACACACACGGGAGAAUGCAUGUUUGAACUGCAGAAAUGCAGGAGUUUUCAAUAUGUAAUUGUCAUGCUGGGAGAUAGAUGAAAAAUACACAUGAUCAGGAUUUUAUUAGAAAGUUGAAGGCAUUUCAUGAAAAGAUGAACUCGCUCAAGAAGAGGGACUUAUAGCAGAUGGAAUCUCAGAUCUGCUGUAUCAAUUAAGAAGAAAUGAACAAAUUGAAUUAGAUGAUAUUAAAGGUCCAGACGGGAACGUUCUGUCCAAAGGCUGUUUCCAGGCCUUGCACGAACCUCAGUCUCAGAAGACUGAGCCACAGGGAGGUGCAGCCAGGGACCUCAGCAGCAUUCCCCCCUCCCUUGUACAGUCUGUGCUGGCCGCUUAGUACUGGAAAAGGUUGGGAGAUGGGGAGAGCACCAAGAAGAGCCGCUUCUUGGAGGGGUAUGUUCAGAGAAGACUUCUGAAGCUGAUACUAUGUAACUGUACUAUUUCAAGUCCCCUCCUGUCAUUGGCCUGAAAACAUCAAAUUUCUGUUUCCACAUGGAAUUGUAAAUAACAACAUGGGGGGGGGGGACUUUUGCUAGACAAAAUAAGACCCUAAAGAAUUUCUGGCAGCAGUGCAGCCCCACUCCCAACUAACCGUUGCUGAACAGUCCCCCAGUCUAUCUGGAAUCAUCUACUAUUAAAAGAUACGUAAUAGAAGACUGCAUUUCUAGGGAAAAAUAGGGCCUGUGUAUGCCUGACUUGCAUCACACACCUCGGCUGUGAACAAACCAUGCAGAUUUCUCAGACUCCGCAAUCCCUGAGACUUGGCAUCAUGACUCAGAUGUGAAUGAAGUCAGAAGAUUGCUUUAUUUUUGUUGGGAGUCACCGCCUCCUGAUUGAUUUGGCAGGCUUUGAGUAUUUUGAUAUUUGUCUCACCGGGUUUUAAGGUACUUAAAGCCAGAGGUUAAAAUGGCUACAAUUCUGGUGGUAGUCCUUGUAUGAGGCUUAAGGAUCCCUCAGUUGGAAGGCUAAGGAGCUCUGAUCCCAGCUGUAGCCUGAUUGUUCUGGAUUUACAUGCAAUCCAGCAGCACACUGGAUAGUGAAGAAAGUGAAAUAUUAGGUCCAGAGUUGCUGAUCUCCAAACCGCCCCAGAGUGCUUAGAAGAGUUAAGCAUUCGAUAAAGAAUUAGCUUUUACAAACUGACAGGGUUGAGCUUUCCCCAACCCACCCAAGGUCUAUACAAUCAGAAGGAUGUCCAACUACUUGAAAACAACUAGCUUUGCUGCCCGGAGAUAGAGAAAUGAUCAAAGUGGCCUUCAAUUUGUCAUGGGGAGUGCAAGAUGCUGCUGGUUCUACUCAUCUGCCUGCAGCGCUUCCCUAUUGAUGUAGUGGGUUACUACCCACUUUUCAAAGAAGUUGGGGGAGGACCUACCUUUUAAUUUUUUGUGUUUUAUUAAAGUAUAGUUGAUUUUCAAUGUUGUGUCAGUUUCUGCUGUACAGCAAAGGGACUCAGUCGUACAUAUAUGUCAUUCUUUUUGAGGACCUACCUUUUAAUGCUGCUUGUAAAGACAUUUUCUGACUUGAAAAGAGCCCCUACCAAAGGUUUCUGGGGUUUUGGCUUUGUUUUUUUCCCCUCUCCUCUCCACCUGAAGUGCUGGGUUUGUCAGGUGUGUGCGUCCACGUGUUCGAUCUUAGUUAAAUAAACCUCACUGCAACGCAGUAAGAGAGGUAGCU
ensembl:lncRNA